rnacentral:rRNA from 1 species
UACGGGGGGGGCAAGCGUUGUUCGGAAUUACUGGGCGUAAAGGGCUCGUAGGCGGCCAACUAAGUCAGACGUGAAAAUCCCCUCGGCUUAACCGGGGGAACUGCAUCUGAUACUGGAUGGCUUGAGAUUGGGAGAGGGAUGCGGAAUUCCAGGUGUAGCGGUGAAAUGCGUAGAUAUCUGGAGGAACACCGGUGGCGAAGGCGGCAUCCUGGACCAACACUGACGCUGAGGAGCGAAAGCCAGGGGAGCAAACAGG